rnacentral:ribozyme from 1 species
GAAACAGAAAAGGUGGAGAGAACAGAAGCAACGUUUUCAUGAGGCAUUUUGGUGUGUCGAUUUUUUUUUUUUUUUUUUUGGUUGUUGUGUGCUUCGUCAUUUUUUUCUAUUUUUGAUUGGUUGAAUUUUA